rnacentral:rRNA from 1 species
AGUUGGAUUUUGCAGGAGGGCGCACGACCGGGCUUUGCUCAGGCCGCGCGCCUACCUGUUUUUUGUCGGGGACUACGCCACUCUUAACUGGGGGGCGCUAGGACGCGGCUCGUUUACUUUGAAAAAAUUAGAGUGUUCAAAGCAGGCCUUUGCUUGAAUACAUUAGCAUGGAAUAAUGGAAUAGGACUUUGGUUCUAUUUUGUUGGUUUCUGGAACCGAAGUAAUGAUUAAUAGGGAUAGUUGGGGGCGUUUAUAUUUCCAUGUCAGAGGUGAAAUUCUUGGAUUUUGGAAAGAUAAACUUCUGCGAAAGCAUUCGCCAAGGAUGUUUUCAUUAAUCAAGAACGAAAGUUAGGGGAUCGAAGACGAUCAGAUACCGUCGUAGUCUUAACCAUAAACUAUGCCGACUAGGGAUCAGUGGACGUUAUUUUAUGACUCCACUGGCACCUUGUGAGAAAUCAAAGUUUUUGGGUUCCGGGGGGAGUAUGGUCGCAAGGCUGAAACUUGAAGGAAUUGACGGAAGG